CACAAACAGGAAAUUCCAUCAUCACACACAGAAAUAUAAGAAACUCUUCAACAUUCGCCUGCUGAUCCAGAAUGACACAGAAUGGCUCGAACACAAUUAAUUCUCAUUUUUCUGCUUCAGUUUACAGCAGGCAUCAGUGGAAAUCGUUUUCUCUAUUACAGACUUGGAAAUGAUGUCACUCUGCCCUGUGAUGAUGUACCUCCAUCUACAACAAGAUGCUCCCUCAUUAGCUGGCUUUACAACAGACGCACAGACUCUCAGACCACAACCAAGGUGAAGAAAGGAAAAGUUAAUCAGAACUUACCUGGAGCAGAGAGACUGAGUCUGAGCAGAAACUGCUCUCUGAUCAUCAACAACAUCACUGCUGAGGAUGCUGGUCGUUACGUCUGUCGGAUUGGGGAUGUCGCUGAGUUUGACAGAUUAGUGCAUCUAAAUAUCCUGACCAUCUCUCCAUCUCCACCAGAUGCUGAUCCAAAGACAGACGAUGAGGUCACAUUAAAAUGCUCUCUAUUGAGAUUCGGUUCUUGUCCACUGAACAGCAUCCGUUGGGUGGAUGAGAAAGGAACUGUGCUGCUUGGUGAAGGUGAUGGGUUCAAGUUUGAUGGACAGACGGACUGUGUUUCUCUUCUGACAGUGAAGCAUCAGAGCAGCCACAACCAACAGAAGAUACACCUGCCAGUUUAUUGAGAGAAACAUUGUGAAGAUAGAUGCUCACUACACACCUGUAGAAGUGACCAGCAACAACACCAUCAUCAUCGUCAGUGUUGUGGUCGGGAUGCUGGUGGUGCUGGGUCGUCAUCACUGCUGUUCUCAUCAAAUGCAGGAGGCGAGCCAAAAUGACGGAGGAUGCUCAAAAACCAACCCAAGCCCAAGAUGAACCAGGAGGUAAUCUGACCUACGUCACUAUCAACCACGCUAAUUACAAUCCGAAGAAAAAGGUCAAAGUGAAGGAGGAAGCAGUGACUUAUUCUACAAUCAAGACCACAGUGAAGAUGGAGGCCAACAUUGAUCCCAGCAGCUUCUACAGCUCUGUCAGAUGAGUUUAUCACAAUGAAUGACUGGAAAUGAGACUUCUCUUAGUGUCAGCUGUGUCUGUCUUCUGUUGGCUUUGCUUUACGCUCUGGAAAAGAUAAAAUCUGCAAAGUAGAACUGGCUGCGUUUAUGGUUUUUAUCACAUUGGAUUAUAAAUUAUGUCACAUUGCUAAAGACUGUAGCUCUCAGUUUUUACUAUGAUAGAAGCUUUUUUUGCACUUUUUUGGUAAUAUAUUGUAUAUUGUAAAGGCUGGAUUUAAUCCUGUGCUGUUAUUUGUAGGACUGUGAACUGAACUUUUUCUUCUUCUUGUGCUUUUGUGUCAUAUUUACUGCUGUUAUGAUCUGCUAUAAAUGUCUUCAGAUGUUAUUGUUAUGGAAUGUUUCGCUCCUCAGGGACAAAAUAAGUGACUCACUUGAAAAUUGUUAUUAAAAUUCCGACUUGAACCUGUGAAUAUUUCAACUUUACAUUGACAUUUAAAUAAACAUUGAAUCAAAUUAAAACGAUUACAGUAGGUGUGUUUAUAGCAGUGCUGUUUCCUGUUUUAUUUCUAGCUAAGAAUCCUUAGAUUAUUCCACUGUAUGGAAAUCAACUCAGACUUAAUUUCUAAAGAUGGUAGUCUUACCUAAUUUACAUUUAAAUCUUCCUGAUGAUCCUUUGAACGGCAUUCAGACAUCCAACAACUGAACUGCUAUAUAUCAUUCUCUCCAUAAACAAAUAUGC
ensembl:lncRNA